UGAUGUAGAAGGCAUGUGGCCAGAUGAUGCAAUUGAAUACUGGUGUUUUAUUGUUACAAGUUCUGCGUCAUUCCAUAAGAAAGCUGCUCUUCUUUUGGUUUCAUAAGAGAUGGUGAACAAUGGGAAUGCAGGUUCGAUCCCUGGUUGGGGAAUGGAGAUCCCACAUGCUGCAGGGCAAGUAAGCCCCCAUGCCGCAACUACUGAGCCCACGUGCUCUGGAGCCCACGCGCCACAACUAGAGAGCCCACGGGGCACAGGGAAGACCCCAUGCACUGCAACGAAGAGCCUGCGUGCUGCACCUAAUACCUGACGCCACCAAAAAUAAACAAAUAAAUUAAUUAAGUUAAUUAAAUAAAAUAAUACGAGUG